rnacentral:rRNA from 1 species
UCGAGGGGCAACAGGUAUCAGCUUGCUGAUACGCUGGCGACCGGCGCACGGGUGAGUAACGCGUAUGCAAUCUACCUGUAACAGGGGGAUAACCCGGAGAAAUCCGGCCUAAUACCCCAUAACGAUACCUAUUUGCAUGAAUAGGCAUCUAAAGGAUUUCCGGUUACAGAUGAGCAUGCGUUCCAUUAGCUAGUUGGCGGGGUAACAGCCCACCAAGGCCACGAUGGAUAGGGGUUCUGAGAGGAAGGUCCCCCACACUGGUACUGAGACACGGACCAGACUCCUACGGGAGGCAGCAGUGAGGAAUAUUGGUCAAUGGGCGAAAGCCUGAACCAGCCAAGUCGCGUGAAGGAAGACAGCCCUACGGGUCGUAAACUUCUUUUGUAUGCGAGUAAAAGAGGCCACGCGUGGCCUAUUGCAAGUAACAUACGAAUAAGCAUCGGCUAACUCCGUGCCAGCAGCCGCGGUAAUACGGAGGAUGCGAGCGUUAUCCGGAUUUAUUGGGUUUAAAGGGUGCGUAGGCGGCCCUAUAAGUCAGCGGUGAAAAUUUUCGGCUCAACCGGAAAAGUGCCGUUGAAACUGUAGAGCUAGAGUACACAAGAGGUAUGCGGAAUGCGUGGUGUAGCGGUGAAAUGCAUAGAUAUCACGCAGAACCCCGAUUGCGAAGGCAGCAUACUGGGGUGA